ACGCUGGCGGCACGCCUAACACAUGCAAGUCGAACGAAGUAGCAAUACUUAGUGGCAGACGGGUGAGUAACAUGUAGGUAUCUGCCCUUUGGCCUGGAAUAACACGAGGAAACUUGUGCUAAUACCGGAUAAGUCUUUACGGAGAAAGCUUUAUGCACCAUUGGAUGAGCCUGCACUUGAUUAGUUUGUUGGUGGGGUAAUGGCCUACCAAGACUGUGAUCAAUAGCUGAUUUGAGAGGAUGAUCAGCCACAUUGGGACUGAGACACGGCCCAAACUCCUACGGGAGGCAGCAGUGGGGAAUCUUGCACAAUGGAGGAAACUCUGAUGCAGCGAUGCCGCGUGAGUGAAGAAGGCCCUUGGGUUGUAAAGCUCUUUCGUCGGGGAAGAAAAUGACUGUACCCGAAUAAGAAGGUCCGGCUAACUUCGUGCCAGCAGCCGCGGUAAUACGAAGGGACCUAGCGUAGUUCGGAAUUACUGGGCUUAAAGAGUUCGUAGGUGGUUGAAAAAGUUAGUGGUGAAAUCCCAGAGCUUAACUCUGGAACUGCCAUUAAAACUUUUUAGCUAGAGUAUGAUAGAGGAAAGCAGAAUUUCUAGUGUAGAGGUGAAAUUCGUAGAUAUUAGAAAGAAUACCAAUUGCGAAGGCAGCUUUCUGGAUCAUUACUGACACUGAGGAACGAAAGCAUGGGUAGCGAAGAGGAUUAGAUACCCUCGUAGUCCAUGCCGUAAACGAUGUGUGUUAGACGUUGGAAAUUUAUUUUCAGUGUCGCAGGGAAACCGAUAAACACACCGCCUGGGGAGUACGACCGCAAGGUUAAAACUCAAAUGAAUUGACGGGGACCCGCACAAGUAGUGGAGCAUGUGGUUUAAUUCGAAGAUACGCGCAGAACCUUACCAACACUUGACAUGUUCGUCGCGACUCUAAGAGAUUAGAGUUUUCGGUUCGGCCGGACGAAACACAGGUGCUGCAUGGCUGUCGUCAGCUCGUGUCGUGAGAUGUUGGGUUAAGUCCCGCAACGAGCGCAACCCUCACUUUUAGUUGCCAUCAUUAAGUUGGGCACUCUGAAAGAACUGCCAGUGAUAAGCUGGAGGAAGGUGGGGAUGACGUCAAGUCCUCAUGGCCCUUACGUGUUGGGCUACACACGUGCUACAAUGGUAUCUACAACAGGAAGCAAGACUGCGAAGUUAAGCAAAUCCCUAAAAGAUACCUCAGUUCGGAUUGCACUCUGCAACUCGAGUGCAUGAAGCUGGAAUUACUAGUAAUCGUGGAUCAGCGUGCCACGGUGAAUGCGUUCCCGGGUCUUGUACACACCGC
rnacentral:rRNA from 1 species